rnacentral:lncRNA from 1 species
CUUGUCAUCGCAUAUUAUAUCUGCAACUUAAUUUUUAUCGUAUUAAGUUAUGUGAACUCAUUUCUUAUCAUUAACAGAUGAAGUAGGGAUAGAACCGGGAUCUGAGUUACUGGAUGCUGAGUCUAGUCUUUAGCGCCAUAGGGCAAGGGUUUCCUUUGCGGCGGGUUAUAGUGUGUAAAAGUUUAUAUUAAUAUGGAUACUAUUUGCUGGAGAUGAACGAUAUGGUUUUCUCAUUUGAUGUGUAUGUAGAAUUGUAAGUUUACAUUGGGUUUGAACAAUAAAAUGUGGACAAGUUUUUUUUAUGUGUGAUUAAACUAACAUGAGAUUUGUGUGUUGGGUCAUGAAAUUGUUUUAUCUUACGCCGUGGAAAAAAAAAAAAACAGGGCGUUAUACAAGAAGAGCUGGAAGAAUGGGUAAACUAAAAAGACUGCCCGAAAGGCUGAAAAAAAAAAACAAAAGAACAAAAAACAGUUUCUCCGAGUAUGCUUGAUGGCUAGUUGUUCCUCAAGGUUGAGAAGAUUUUUAUUGUGACAUACAAAGUGUAUCUGCAGCCAAAUCUAGUCGCAAUAGUUCUCAGAAAAUGGAAAGCAAAAGCGAAAGGUAAGGGAGAGGAGAAGAAGGAGAGAAGGAAAUUAGGAAAGACUGAGGAUAGAAGAGAGAGGAGGUUUUAGUGCUAUUCAUUUAUGGGUAAGCUUGUUAGAUCAACUCAUCUUAUUUAUACAUUUCAUUCAGUUUCUACAGCAAACUCUUUUAUUAGCUGCAACAAUUUGUGCCUCUAACUACUUUUAAUUAGUCAGGUAGCUUUUCUAGUUAAAUCAGAGCAACUAUUUCAUGUAUUUUCUUACUUAAAUGUCCUGGGUCUUUUGGCAAAAAAGUUAACAUGUGUUGUUAUAUUAUUUUUAUGGUGGAAAUUUUGUUUCAUUCUUGGCUUUUCUUUCUAAAUAAGAGAAAAUGUCAACUGAAUUUGUUGUCAAAAUGCUAUCUUAUUUAGCUUGUGCAUGUUCUUUAAUUCUUUGCAUUUAGAUUGUGGUAAUUGAAUUUUACAUUUACAAAGGAUUUGGCCUGACGAAAAGGAAAAGAAAAAAAAAAAUCCCAUUACAUAGGUAUAUUAGUCUGUAUUUUUUAUAUCAGUUUUCUUUUAUUAUAUUAUCAAGUCGAAUAGAAUAUUAUUGUAUGAGGUCAAACUGUGAUAAAGUAUUAUAGCAAGUAGGUAGCUAGUUGAUUUUAGUUGGUAAGUGAAGGGAUUUAAAAUUUAUCUAGUUAUUGCAUUCUAAGGGGUUCAGUCUGACAAGAAGAAGCAUCAUCAUCUACAUCAAAUAUGUCAUAUAUUUGGAGAAGUUUAGCAGCUUAACUUCGUUAUUGUUGAAAAAAAAAAUGAAAUUGACAAAAAGUUGUAGAAUUCGCAUGUAUUUCGUUUUAACAGAGAAACUUAGAUUUAAAAUGAAUCCCACUCUUCUUAGAAAGUUCAUAUGAUCCAAACUAAAGUAAGCUUUUACCCAAGAAGAAUGUUUAUUUGCAAAAGAUUAUUUAGAGCUAUAGACAUGGCCUAAAACUAUAUAUAAGGCCAAUCGUUCAAUAUAUACAUUAAAAGUUGACAUCUUAUGAGCCAUUAUUUGCAUAUUUGUUGACAAAAUUCAAAUAGAAAAUACUAAUCUUUCUGGAAAAUGUAUAUAUGUUGUUUAUUAAGUCAUUUAAUACUUCAUAAUCUGGACUUCUAACAGUCACAGGAAGUAAGAGGGAGUACAGAAUCAGUGAAUCCCCUCUUCUUAGAAUAUAGUGAAACAGAAUCAGCUUGUUAAGCACUCAAGGUGGACAAAGUUUAUUAUAAGACAUCUCUCUAAUAUUUGUAGAAGUAACAGGGAGUACAGCUUUAUAUUUGGUUUUGUCAUUGUUAGACUAACUAACAUUAGGUUUGAGUUAAAUCUGGAAAUGUAAAAUCCAUUUCCAUCUCUUCUUCUUAUCUAGUAGAACUAAGCUGUAUCCUAACUGCAGAUUCUACAUAUUGGUUGGCCAUAUUAUUUUAGUUCUUGGUGUGUCAAUCGAAAUACUCGAGUUCUAUGCCAUUCAUGUUUUUUUUUUUUUUUUUAUUAAUGUCAAUUUUCUGAUCCAUGACACCAUAAAAGAUUAUUGUAUGCCUGAAUAAUCUAGUUGAUGAGUGAAAAGAUAAAAUACUAAACUACGUAUACUUGUGAUAAAAUUAUUAUUUGAUCCAUUAGGUCAUUGCUUGUAGGAAGCGGCAUCUGGCAAGUAGAGGCAUCAUCAUCCACGUCAAAUGUACGUAUCUCUUUAAAUUUUCAGCUGAACUUCAUUGAUAUUAUAUGGGGCAGGUAAACUGGAACCGUAACGACUUGGUUUUAUAUUUGUGUUUAGAAGUUAGUUCACUUCUGGACUAUCUUAGCUUCCUUUGUUGACAAAAUCCAAAUAGAGAAAUGCACGUAUGUUGCUGAUAAAAACCAUCUAAUGCUUCAACAAUGUGGGUAACACCAAUAGUUUUUAAGAGAAAUUAGGAAUUAUCUAAAUAUAAUUUAGGGAUGAAUUAAGAGAAAAUCGACGUAAAGACUCGCACUAACAGCUCGUGGUGGCUUAGAAUCUUGGACUCAAUAUUUGAAGUUUAGGCAAAAAAUUUAUCUCUUGAAUACGAAAAAGUUUAUAGUACUCCUAAUCGUCGUCAAUGAAUUAUAUAGUUAGUUCUCU